rnacentral:rRNA from 1 species
AAUGAACGCUGGCGGCAGGCCUAACACAUGCAAGUCGAACGGAUCCUUCGGGGUUAGUGGCGGACGGGUGAGUAACGCGUGGGAACGUGCCCUUUGGUUCGGAAUAGCCCCGGGAAACUGGGAGUAAUACCGGAUGAGCUCUACGGAGGAAAGAUUUAUCGCCAAAGGAUCGGCCCGCGUUGGAUUAGGUAGUUGGUGGGGUAAUGGCCUACCAAGCCGACGAUCCAUAGCUGGUUUGAGAGGAUGAUCAGCCACACUGGGACUGAGACACGGCCAGACUCCUACGGGAGGCAGCAGUGGGGAAUCUUAGACAAUGGGGGAAACCCUGAUCUAGCCAUGCCGCGUGAUCGAUGAAGGCCUUAGGGUUGUAAAGAUCUUUCAGGUGGGAAGAUAAUGACUGUACCACCAGAAGAAGCCCCGGCUAACUCCGUGCCAGCAGCCGCCGCAGUAA